rfam:Aedes aegypti strain Liverpool supercont1.3369 genomic scaffold, whole genome shotgun sequence.
CAAUCGGCCCUUUUCAGGGCCAACAAAUGUGCACUUAAAAGAUUUUU